AGCCGUGUGGUGAGCGCAGAGCGAACUAUUCUUUCGCCUUUUACUAAAGAAUACCGUGUGCUCUCCAUUGACUGCGGCAUACCUCUAUUUUUGUAGGGCUUUUCCUUCGUGUAAGCCC
rnacentral:snRNA from 1 species